rnacentral:misc_RNA from 1 species
AAAAACAAUGAUCAGUAAAGACCAUGUGCCCAAAUAAGGGUCCAUAUCCUAGAGACCAAGCGACACACCACAGGCCAUCCCAUCAGUGCGUUAGCAUCGAAAGGAUGGACGAUAGGUGCCGUUUCGUGGUUCGUUCACGCCGCAAGCGACGCUUUACGAAAGAGUUGUUUGUCAAAGCCAAACGAUGCCAUUGUUUUGGUAUGCAACACAGGAACCCACUUGAUGCUCAAGGCAAAAGAGCCAUGGAGCAACUAUUGAAGAGGUCUGGACGCGUGGAAGUUGCUGCGCAAGCAGACACCAACCACCCGUAACAGACCAAACACCACUCAUGCACCUUUAUGGUAGACAUUCCCGAAAGUCGCCCAACUAAAAGCCACCCACCUAGCAACAAGGCCAAGCAAG